rnacentral:tRNA from 1 species
GGGGACGUCGUAUAACUAGGCUAUUAUUAGCGGCUCCAGACCGCUGGAUCCGGGUUCAAAUCCCGGCGUCCCCA